rnacentral:rRNA from 1 species
AAUAGAUACCCGGGUAGUCCAUGCCGUAAACGUUGGGCGCUAGAUGUGGGGACCAUUCCACGGUUUCCGUGUCGCAGCUAACGCAUUAAGCGCCCCGCCUGGGGAGUACGGCCGCAAGGCUAAAACUCAAAGGAAUUGACGGGGGCCCGCACAAGCGGCGGAGCAUGCGGAUUAAUUCGAUGCAACGCGAAGAACCUUACCAAGGCUUGACAUAUACGAGAACGCUCUAGAAAUAGAGAACUCUUUGGACACUCGUAUACAGGCGGUGCAUGGUUGUCGUCAGCUCGUGUCGUGAGAUGUUGGGUUAAGUCCCGCAACGAGCGCAACCCUCGUUCUAUGUUGCCAGCGGUUCGGCCGGGAACUCAUAGGAGACUGCCGGGGUCAACUCGGAGGAAGGUGGGGAUGACGUCAAAUCAUCAUGCCCCUUAUGUCUUGGGCUUCACGCAUGCUACAAUGGCCGGUACAAAGGGCUGCAAUACCGUAAGUGGAGCGAAUCCCAAAAAGCCGGUCUCAGUUCGGAUUGAGGU